CAGCAGCCGCGGUAAUACGUAGGGGGCGAGCGUUAUCCGGAAUUAUUGGGCGUAAAGAGUGCGUAGGUGGUUUUGUAAGCGCGGGGUGAAAGGCUAUGGCUUAACCAUAGUAAGCCUCGCGAACUGUGAGACUUGAGUGCAGGAGAGGAAAGUGGAAUUCCUAGUGUAGCGGUGAAAUGCGUAGAUAUUAGGAGGAACACCAGUGGCGAAGGCGACUUUCUGGACUGUAACUGACACUGAGGCACGAAAGCGUGGGGAGCAAACAGGAUUAGAUACCCUGGUAGUCCACGCCGUAAACGAUGAGCACUAGGUGUCGGUGCCGCAAGGCUUCGGUGCCGCAGUUAACGCAUUAAGUGCUCCGCCUGGGGAGUACGUGCGCAAGCAUAAAACUCAAAGGAAUUGACGGGGACCCGCACAAGCAGCGGAGCAUGUGGUUUAAUUCGAAGCAACGCGAAGAACCUUACCAGGGCUUGACAUCCCUCUGACCGGUUGGUAACGCGACCUUCCCUUCGGGGCAGAGGAGACAGGUGGUGCAUGGCC
rnacentral:rRNA from 1 species